rnacentral:tRNA from 1 species
AGGAGCAUAGUUUAAUGGUAGAAUAGGGGUCUCCAAAACCUUUGGUGAGGGUUCAAUUCCUUCUGCUCCUGCCA